GACGAACGCUGGCGGCGUGCUUAACACAUGCAAGUCGAACGGAAAGGCCCUGCUUUUGUGGGGUGCUCGAGUGGCGAACGGGUGAGUAACACGUGAGUAACCUGCCCUUGACUUUGGGAUAACUUCAGGAAACUGGGGCUAAUACCGGAUAGGAGCUCCUGCUGCAUGGUGGGGGUUGGAAAGUUUCGGCGGUUGUGGAUGGACUCGCGGCUUAUCAGCUUGUUGGUGGGGUAGUUGCUUACCAAGGCUUUGACGGGUAGCCGGCCUGAGAGGGUGACCGGCCACAUUGGGACUGAGAUACGGACCAGACUCCUACGGGAGGCAGCAGUGGGGAAUAUUGCACAAUGGGCGGAAGCCUGAUGCAGCAACGCCGCGUGCGGGAUGACGGCCUUCGGGUUGUAAACCGCUUUCGCCUGUGACGAAGCGUGAGUGACGGUAAUGGGUAAAGAAGCACCGGCUAACUACGUG
rnacentral:rRNA from 1 species